UCUCUUCAUUCACUGCAAAUAAAUACAGACGCUGUUGAGCCCUCUUGGCAAUAGAAGCACAAUGAGGUAAAUGAGUAACAAGCACCCCUCUGGAAAGUGAGGAUGAAUUAAUGGGAAAAAGCCCAAAUGCCGCUCCUAUGAAGUGAUCAACAGAACGGUCCGCAGACACCCCUGCUAAGGAUGAUGGGAGAAUCGACAUGGUUCAGAAAUUACUUAUGGCUUUAUUUGAUUCGAUAAGGUGAUAAAGUCAUGAUGAUGUGAUGUAUGAGGUGAGGUAAUAGUAAGAGAAAAGUAUGGAAGACGAUGAAUGGUUUACUUGAUUGCUCACUCCAUGAACGGAGACAUUUGUGCGUAACUCUGUGCAAAUUAAGAAACGUUCUGUAUUCUCAUCUAGGCCCUAUGACCACCUUUUUUGAAGAUAAAGGGAAGUUUUUUUUUCCAUGACAUGUGCUG